GGAUGAACGCUGGCGGCGUGCCUAAUACAUGCAAGUCGAACGAGUUCGCGUUUAUGAUGGCGGUGCUUGCACCAAUAGAUUAAACAUUUGAACGAGUGGCGGACGGGUGAGUAACACGUGGGUAACCUGCCCUAAAGUGGGGGAUAACAUUUGGAAACAGAUGCUAAUACCGCAUAAACCUCAAAAGCACAUGCUUUUGAGUUGAAAGAUGGCGUAAGCUAUCGCUUUUGGAUGGACCCGCGGCGUAUUAGCUAGUUGGUGAGGUAAAGGCUCACCAAGGCUGUGAUACGUAGCCGACCUGAGAGGGUAAUCGGCCACAUUGGGACUGAGACACGGCCCAAACUCCUACGGGAGGCAGCAGUAGGGAAUCUUCCACAAUGGACGAAAGUCUGAUGGAGCAACGCCGCGUGAGUGAAGAAGGUUUUCGGAUCGUAAAACUCUGUUGUUGGAGAAGAACGUACGUGAGAGUAACUGUUCACGUAGUGACGGUAUCCAACCAGAAAGCCACGGCUAACUACGUGCCAGCAGCCGCGGUAAUACGUAGGUGGCAAGCGUUAUCCGGAUUUAUUGGGCGUAAAGCGAGCGCAGGCGGUUUUUUAAGUCUGAUGUGAAAGCCCUCGGCUCAACCGAGGAAGUGCAUCGGAAACUGGGAAACUUGAGUGCAGAAGAGGACAGUGGAACUCCAUGUGUAGCGGUGAAAUGCGUAGAUAUAUGGAAGAACACCAGUGGCGAAGGCGGCUGUCUGGUCUGUAACUGACGCUGAGGCUCGAAAGCAUGGGUAGCGAACAGGAUUAGAUACCCUGGUAGUCCAUGCCGUAAACGAUGAAUGCUAGGUGUUGGAGGGUUUCCGCCCUUCAGUGCCGCAGCUAACGCAUUAAGCAUUCCGCCUGGGGAGUACGACCGCAAGGUUGAAACUCAAAGGAAUUGACGGGGGCCCGCACAAGCGGUGGAGCAUGUGGUUUAAUUCGAAGCAACGCGAAGAACCUUACCAGGUCUUGACAUCUUCUGCCAACCUAAGAGAUUAGGCGUUCCCUUCGGGGACAGAAUGACAGGUGGUGCAUGGUUGUCGUCAGCUCGUGUCGUGAGAUGUUGGGUUAAGUCCCGCAACGAGCGCAACCCUUAUUACUAGUUGCCAGCAUUUAGUUGGGCACUCUAGUGAGACUGCCGGUGACAAACCGGAGGAAGGUGGGGACGACGUCAAAUCAUCAUGCCCCUUAUGACCUGGGCUACACACGUGCUACAAUGGAUGGUACAACGAGUUGCGAGACCGCGAGGUUUAGCUAAUCUCUUAAAGCCAUUCUCAGUCCGGACUGUAGGCUGCAACUCGCCUACACGAAGUCGGAAUCGCUAGUAAUCGCGGAUCAGCAUGCCGCGGUGAAUACGUUCCCGGGCCUUGUACACACCGCCCGUCACACCAUGAGAGUUUGUAACACCCGAAGCCGGUGGGGUAACCUUUUAGGAGCUAGCCGUCUAAGGUGGGACAGAUGAUUAGGGUGAAGUCGUAACAAGGUAGCCGUAGGAGAACCUGCGGCUGGAUCACCUCCUUUCUAAGGAAUAUUACGGAAACCUACACAUGAAACUUUGUUUAGUUUUGAGAGGAUUACUCUCAAACUUUGAUCUUUGAAAACUGGAUAUCAAUAUAAUUUUUUAGUUUUAAAAUGCCGAGAACACAGCGUAUUUGUUAGAGUUUCUAUUAGAAAUUCGAUCGCAUAACCGAUAAACGAAGUUUAUCAAGGUUAAGUUACAAAGGGCGCACGGUGGAUGCCUUGGCACUAGGAGCCGAUGAAGGACGGGACUAACACCGAUAUGCUUCGGGGAGCUGUACGUAAGCUUUGAUCCGGAGAUUUCCGAAUGGGGGAACCCAAUGCACGUGAGUGCAUUACAUCUAAGUGAAUACAUAGCUUAGUUGAGGUAGACGCAGGGAACUGAAACAUCUAAGUACCUGCAGGAAGAGAAAGAAAAAUCGAUUCCCAUAGUAGCGGCGAGCGAAGUGGGAAGAGCCCAAACCAAAGUGCUUGCACUUUGGGGUUGUAGGACUGAACUUUAGAGUUACCAAAGUAAGUUGUAAUCGAAGUCAGCUGGAAAGCUGCGCCAAAGAAGGUGAAAGCCCUGUAGGUGAAACGACUUACCCUCUGUUCAGGAUCCUGAGUACGGCGGAGCACGUGAAAUUCCGUCGGAAUCCGCGGGGACCAUCCCGCAAGGCUAAAUACUCCCUAGUGACCGAUAGUGAACCAGUACCGUGAGGG
rnacentral:rRNA from 2 species